CACGUAGGGUGCGAGCGUUGUCCGGAAUUAUUGGGCGUAAAGAGCUCGUAGGCGGUGUGUCGCGUCGGCCGUGAAAAACCUGGGGCUUAACUCUGGGUUUGCGGUCGAUACGGGCAUCACUGGAGUUCGGCAGGGGAGACUGGAAUUCCUGGUGUAGCGGUGAAAUGCGUAGAUAUCGGAAGGAACACCAGUGGCGAAAGCGGCUUCCUGGUCCAGCACCGACGUUCAGGCACGAAAGCGUGGGGAGCAAACAGG
rnacentral:rRNA from 1 species